UACGUAGGGGGCAAGCGUUGUCCGGAAUCAUUGGGCGUAAAGAGCGCGUAGGCGGCCCAGUAAGUCCGCUCUGAAAGUCAGGGGCUCAACCCCUGAAUGCGGGUGGAUACUGCUGUGCUAGAGUCCGGAAGAGGCGAGUGGAAUUCCUGGUGUAGCGGUGAAAUGCGCAGAUAUCAGGAGGAACACCGAUGGCGAAGGCAGCUCGCUGGGACGGUACUGACGCUGAGGCGCGAAAGCGUGGGGAGCAAACAGG
rnacentral:rRNA from 1 species